rnacentral:lncRNA from 1 species
GUGUGCACCAGGACAAGGACUUAAACUGCUGUUUUGUAUUUUGUGGUCAUUUCUCAGCCACUGGUGUGACUGUGGACUUCCAGAAGAACAGGCAGUGUCAGGACCCUUCUGGGAAGGCCUUGUUGCAGAAUUUCAGCACUCUGGUUUGUGUGGGUGAGAACAGUUUGCUUCCAGCCUCCCUUGUUCCUCCUCAGGAAGAGGGUUCACUGAUCACCCAGACCUGCUUAUCUGUGGAAACCUAGAAGGUGGAGAGGGAGGAGACAGUACCUAAGGAUCCAGGUUGUGAUGGUUUGUAUAUGGUUGGCCCAGGGAGUGGCAUUUUUUGGAGGUGUGGCCUUCUUGAUGUAGGUAUGCCACUAUAGGCUUGGGCUUUAAAACCUUCAUCAUAGCUGCCUGGAAGCCAGUCUUCUAGCUACGUUCAGAUGAAGAGAAGAACUCUUAGAUCCUCUUGCACGAUGCCUGCCUGGACACUGUCAAACCCCCACCUUGAUGAUAAUGAACUGAACUUCUGAACCUGUAAGCC